rnacentral:rRNA from 1 species
AGAGUUUGAUCCUGGCUCAGGAUGAACGCUAGCGGCAGGCUUAACACAUGCAAGUCGAGGGGCAGCAUGUCCAGCAAUGGAUGAUGGCGACCGGCGGAAGGGUGCGUAACGCGUGAGCAACAUGCCCUAUACAGGGAGAUACACCAGGGAAACUUGGUCUAAUAUCCCAUAGCAUUCAUUGAAGGCAUCUUUAAUGAAUUAAAGCUUCGGUGGUAUAGGAUUGGCUCGCGUGACAUUAGCCAGAUGGUGAGGUAACGGCUCACCAUAGCAAUGAUGUCUAGGGGUUUUGAGAGGAAGGCCCCCCACACUGGGACUGAGACACGGCCCAGACUCCUACGGGAGGCAGCAGUGAGGAAUAUUGGACAAUGGAUGGAAAUCUGAUCCAGCCAUGCCGCGUGCAGGAAGACGGCCUUAUGGGUUGUAAACUGCUUUUAUACGGGAGCAAUAAGGGUUACGAGUAAUCCGAUGAGAGUACUGUAUGAAUAAGGAUCGGCUAACUCCGUGCCAGCAGCCGCGGUAAUACGGAGGAUCCGAGCGUUAUCCGGAAUUAUUGGGUUUAAAGGGUGCGUAGGCGGCCAUUUAAGUCAGCGGUGAAAUUUUGCAGCUUAACUGUAACAGUGCCGUUGAUACUGUUUGGCUAGGAUUUGGUUGUAGUGUGCGGAAUGUGUGGUGUAGCGGUGAAAUGCUUAGAUAUCACACAGAACACCGAUUGCGAAGGCAGCACACUAAGUCAUUAUUGACGCUGAGGCACGAAAGUGUGGGGAUCAAACAGGAUUAGAUACCCUGGUAGUCCACACUGUAAACGAUGAUAACUCGCUGUCGGCGAUACACAGUCGGGGCCAAGCGAAAGC